AACGAACGCUGGCGGCAGGCUUAACACAUGCAAGUCGAGCGCCCCGCAAGGGGAGCGGCAGACGGGUGAGUAACACGUGGGAACCUUCCUCGUUGUACGGAACAACUCAGGGAAACUUGAGCUAAUACCGUAUACGUCCGAGAGGAGAAAGAUUUAUCGCAAUGAGACGGGCCCGCGUCGGAUUAGCUAGUUGGUGGGGUAACGGCCUACCAAGGCGACGAUCCGUAGCUGAUCUGAGAGGAUGAUCAGCCACACUGGGACUGAGACACGGCCCAGACUCCUACGGGAGGCAGCAGAGGGGAAUCUUGGACAAUGGGCGCAAGCCUGAUCCAGCCAUGCCGCGUGAGUGAAGAAGGCCUUCGGGUUGUAAAGCUCUUUUGUCAGGGACGAUAAUGACGGUACCUGAAGAAUAAGCCCCGGCAAACUUCGUGCCAGCCGCCGCUGUAA
rnacentral:rRNA from 1 species